UACGUAGGUGGCAAGCGUUGUCCGGAUUUAUUGGGUUUAAAGGGUGCGUAGGCGGUUCCAUAAGUCAGUGGUGAAAUACAAUAGCUUAACUAGAGGGGUGCCAAUGAUACUGCAGGGCUUGAGUACAGAUGAGGUAGGCGGAAUUGACGGUGUAGCGGUGAAAUGCAUAGAUAUCGUCAAGAACACCGAUAGCGAAGGCAGCUUACUGGGCUGUAACUGACGCUGAUGCACGAAAGUGUGGGGAUCAAACAGG
rnacentral:rRNA from 1 species